rnacentral:rRNA from 1 species
UUUUUUCGGACCGGGUGAGUAACGCGUGAGGAUCUGCCUACAGGACAGGGACAACAGUUGGAAACGGCUGCUAAAACCUGAUGUGCCGAGAGGUGAAAUAUUUAUAGCCUGUAGAUGAGCUCGCGUCUGAUUAGCUAGUUGGUGAGGUAAGGGCUCACCAAGGCGACGAUCAGUAGCUGGUCUGAGAGGACGAUCAGCCACACUGGGACUGAGACACGGCCCAGACUCCUACGGGAGGCAGCAGUGGGGAAUUUUCCGCAAUGGGCGCAAGCCUGACGGAGCAAUACCGCGUGAGGGAGGAAGGUCUGUGGAUUGUAAACCUCUUUUGAUAGGGAAGAAGUUCUGACGGUACCUAUCGAAUCAGCAUCGGCUAACUCCGUGCCAGCAGCCGCGGUAAUACGGAGGAUGCAAGCGUUAUCCGGAAUUAUUGGGCGUAAAGCGUCCGUAGGUGGUUGUUCAAGUCUAUUGUCAAAGCCUGGGGCUUAACCCUGGAGAGGCGGUGGAAACUGGAUAACUAGAGUGCGGUAGGGGCAGAGGGAAUUCCCAGUGUAGCGGUGAAAUGCGUAGAUAUUGGGAAGAACACCGGUGGCGAAAGCGCUCUGCUGGGCCUGCACUGAC